rnacentral:rRNA from 1 species
GAUCAUGGCUCAGGAUGAACGCUAGCUACAGGCUUAACACAUGCAAGUCGAGGGGCAGCAUGAUCAAAGCUUGCUUGAUUGAUGGCGACCGGCGCACGGGUGAGUAACGCGUAUCCAACCUUCCCCUUAGUAGGGCAUAGCCCGGCGAAAGUCGGAUUAAUACCCUAUGUUAUUCGUCGAGGACAUCUGAAGUGAAUCAAAGAUUUAUCGCUAAGGGAUGGGGAUGCGUCUGAUUAGGUUGUUGGCGGGGUAACGGCCCACCAAGCCAUCGAUCAGUAGGGGUUCUGAGAGGAAGGUCCCCCACAUUGGUACUGAGACACGGACCAAACUCCUACGGGAGGCAGCAGUGAGGAAUAUUGGUCAAUGGGCGAGAGCCUGAACCAGCCAAGUAGCCGUGCAGGAUGACUGCCCUAUGGGUUGUAAACUGCUUUUAUACGGGGAUAAAGUGAGGUAUGCAUACCUUUUUGUAGGUACCGUAUGAAUAAGGACCGGCUAAUUCCGUGCCAGCCGCGGC